UCCGAGUUGACCCCGGCAGUCUCCCAUGAGUCCCCACCAUUACGUGCUGGCAACAUGGAACGAGGGUUGCGCUCGUUGCGGGACUUAACCCAACAUCUCACGACACGAGCUGACGACAGCCAUGCAGCACCUGUGUGGGGUCCAGCCGAACUGAAGGAUCUCAUCUCUGAAAUCCGCGACCCCCAUGUCAAGGGCUGGUAAGGUUCUUCGCGUUGCGUCGAAUUAAACCACAUGCUCCACCGCUUGUGCAGGCCCCCGUCAAUUCCUUUGAGUUUUAAUCUUGCGACCGUACUCCCCAGGCGGAUAACUUAAUGCGUUAGCUGCGCCACCCAAGCUCUAUGAGCCCGGACAGCUAGUUAUCAUCGUUUACGGCAUGGACUAC
rnacentral:misc_RNA from 1 species